rnacentral:rRNA from 1 species
GUGGGGAAUUUUGGACAAUGGGCGCAAGCCUGAUCCAGCCAUGCCGCGUGCAGGAUGAAGGCCUUCGGGUUGUAAACUGCUUUUGUACGGAACGAAACGGCUCUUUCUAGUAAAGAGGGCUAAUGACGGUACCGUAAGAAUAAGCACCGGCUAACUACGUGCCAGCAGCCGCGGUAAUACGUAGGGUGCGAGCGUUAAUCGGAAUUACUGGGCGUAAAGCGUGCGCAGGCGGUGAUGUAAGACAGAUGGGAAAUCCCCGGGCUCAACCUGGGAACUGCAUUUGUGACUGCAUCGCUGGAGUGCGGCAGAGGGGGAUGGAAUUCCGCGUGUAGCAGUGAAAUGCGUAGAUAUGCGGAGGAACACCGAUGGCGAAGGCAAUCCCCUGGGCCUGCACUGACGCUCAUGCACGAAAGCGUGGGGAGCAAACAGGAUUAGAUACCCUAGUAGUCC